ACCUGGCCCCAUCGGGAUCUACGGCGGACACAGCAAAGGAAGGGUUCUGCACACUCCAACGGGAUCGGCGAGCCUUUUGCUUCCUUCUCUGGCUGGACUGCGCUUCCUAGGGGCCUGGGAGGAGCCGAGAAGGCUGGACCCUAAAGACCCCCCCCACGAGAGGCCCAGACUCGGCUCUAAUUGCUCUCCCCAGCGCAGGCACAGCCUCCCCUGCUGAGCAUCCCUCUCCAAGAUUUGACCUGGAGAGGGAUUCAGGCCGGACCUUGGGACAGCCUCCCAACACGCCCCGCUGGCUAGGCAGGGGCACAAUCUACUCUAUUGGCUUUCAGCACUGUCCUCCCCUAGCUUCACCCGGGCCCAGACCAUCCCGUGUUCAGGACAACCCUUAAAAAAAUUUUAAAUAUUUUAUUUAUAAUUUAUUUUAAUUUUUAAAAUGUAUUUAUUUUCCCUUUUGUUGCCCUUGUUCUUUCUCGUUGUUGUAAUUAUUGUUGUUAUUGAUGUCGUCGUUGUUGGAUAGGACAAAGAGAAAUGGAGAAAGGAGGUAAGACAGAGGGGGAGAGAAAGAUGACACUUGCAGACCUCUUGUGAAGCGAUCCCCCUGCAGGACAACCCUUCACGAAGCAGGAACACUCCAGGGUCAAUGUGACUGCCUCCUGCUGAGGGCUGCUCCUCCCGGAGCCUGGGUUAGAAACACCCAUUUCCAGAAGCUAUCAGAACCUGAAGUCAGAGCAAGUUGGAAGCGGUUCCCAGGCCCAGCACACUUGCUUCCCUAGCUUGGGGGACCCAGACCUCAACACCAGGCCUCUCCUGUUUCCUGGGACACUGACUCUAGUGGGAAAAGACUGGGCAUCCAACAAGAGCAACAAAAAGGGAAUAAAUAAAUA